rnacentral:rRNA from 1 species
UACAGAGGUCUCAAGCGUUGUUCGGAUUCAUUGGGCGUAAAGGGUGUGUAGGUGGCGCGCUAAGUCGGGUGUGAAAUUUCGGAGCUUAACUCCGAAACUGCAUUCGAUACUGGCGUGCUUGAGGACUGCAGGGGAGACUGGAAUUCCUGGUGGUAGCGGUGGAAUGCGCAGAUAUCAGGAGGAACACCGGUGGCGAAGGCGGGUCUCUGGGCAGUAACUGACGCUGGAGGAGCGAAAGCGUGGGGAGCGAACAGG